rnacentral:rRNA from 1 species
AAGUGGUUGUGCGCCGAAGAUGUAACGGGGCUAAAGUCCGCCACCGAAGCUUCGGGUGUGCUGGUUAUCUCUGCUUUUUCUCUGCGUUGAGUGAACGAAGGCGAGGUACAUCUUGUCAAAACGGACAAUUGAAAUUUGAAUUGGUACGUUUUGACCAGAUGCCUUCAGCUAAAGUUCGCCGAAGUAGGGAGGCAGCAGAGAUGACCAGCGCACGGUAGAGGAGCGUUCCAACGGCGCAGAAGGUAGACUGUGAAGACUAUUGGAGCUGUUGGAAGUGAGAAUGCCGGUAUGAGUAGCGAAAAGGAGGGUGAGAAUCCCUCCCGCCGAAAGCCUAAGGAUUCCUGAGGAAGGUUCGUCCGCUCAGGGUAAGUCGGGACCUAAGGCGAGGCCGAAAGGCGUAGUCGAUGGACAACAGGUUGAAAUUCCUGUACCACCAAGCAUCGUUUGAGUGAAGUGGUGACACAGAAGGGUAGGUCAUCACCCGGAUGGAAGAGGGUGUCCAAGCGCGUAGGGAGCAAGGUAGGCAAAUCCGCCUUGCGUAAUCCUGAGGCGUGAUGGGGAGGCGAAAUUAGUAGCCGAACUGAUUGAACCCAAGCUGUCAAGAAAAGCCGCUAGCGAGAUGUGAGGUGCCCGUACCGCAAACCGACACAGGUAGGCGAGGAGAGAAUCCUAAGGCGCGCGAGAGAACCCCUGUUAAGGAACUCGGCAAAAUGACUCCGUAACUUCGGGAGAAGGAGUGCCUAAGUAGUGUGAAGUUGAACAGAUGGAGCACGAACAGGCCGCAGAGAAAUGGCCCAAGCGACUGUUUAUCAAAAACACAGGUCUCUGCUAAGUGGAAACACGAAGUAUAGGGGCUGACGCCUGCCCAAUGCCGGAAGGUUAAGGGGAGAGGUUAGCGCAAGCGAAGCUUCGAACCGAAGCCCCGGUCAAUGGCGGCCGUAACUAUAACGGUCCUAAGGUAGCGAAAUUCCUUGUCGGGUAAGUUCCGACCUGCACGAAAGGCGCAACGACUUGGGCGCUGUCUCGACGGGGGGCUCGGCGAAAUUGUAGUACCUGUGAAGAUGCAGGUUACCCGCGACAAGACGGAAAGACCCCAUGGAGCUUUACUGUAGCUUGGUAUUGAAUUUUGGUAUGGAAUGUAUAGGAUAGGUGGGAGACUGAGAAGCCGGGACGCUAGUUUCGGUGGAGUCGACGGUGGAAUACCACUCUUUUCAUACUAGGGUUCUAACUGGAGGCCAUGAAGCUG